GCCUUCGUGAUGUAGUGGUCAGCAAGCUGGGCGCGUAUUCCAGAGAUCCGUGGUUCGAUUCCUGGCAAAGGCG
rfam:Stegodyphus mimosarum contig29819, whole genome shotgun sequence.